UGCCAAGUCCCAAUCCAAAUUGAACAACAGUCCCAAGUUGAAGCCCUUUAUAGCCUUUCCGGAGCCUGGCGGGUUUUCUUUCUGAGGCUGAUUGCUUUUGUCUUUGGCUCGUCUUGCACAGCACUUCCUGGUUUGGGGGUGGAAGUGAAAUGUUACAAGCCCGACUAGAAAACGCUCCUCUGCAGAGACUGUCAGCCGUGGUUGUUGCCUGUUUGUGAUGAGACCUGACCGAUACCUGCUGUGCGUCAGGCUCUGUGGAGGGACCAGGGACCUCCUACACUCAAGGACCCACAGUCCAGAAGGAAAGACAAACAAAUAAAUCCACAAGCAAGUGACCACAGGAACUUCUCACUUCUCACCAGGAAGCAUAUAAAAUGAGAAAAAGGCAGGAUGGAAUCCAGAGAAGAAGGCAGUGGAGCCCAAGAAAGAGCGUCAGUGGGGCAGAAGGAAGCUAAUAGAGAAGUGGUGCUAAAGGCCAAGGGAGGGGCCUUCUAAAAGGAAGGGCUGGUCCACAAUAAAAAAUGUCACUCAAAGGUUGGGUGGGACAAUGUAUGAAGAGUGUCCUUUUGAUCUGACAGCUGAGAGGUUUUUGAUAACAGUCAGUGGGUAAAACUGGGAAGGAGGCAGUGUUUCUCUGCGGGGCCCGCAGUUUGGACAGUCCCCUUCACUUUGGGUGGUGUUUUUUUCUACCACCACGUACCCCAGGAAGGGACGUUACCCUGGAGCUUCUGGCUGACAUCCCGGUGUCCUCCAACGCCACUGAAACAUACUUGUCCUAUCUGCCAUCUCCAGACUCUCGGUCAACUUUGCUCCACUCCAUAGUGAUGUUUUCCUGAGUAAAUCAGAAAAAAAAAAAAGAAUCCUUGUAGACAGGCAACAACUAAUUAGCAAAUAUGCAAAGCUCUCAGCCUCCUUUCCCUUAUGCCAUCAUGGAUCUGAGUAGGAGCUUCAUGCAUCUGACUGUAGAAUGAAGCCUCCGUAGUGAAGUUCUUUCCAUCCUUGGGGGUUUGGGUUUAUGGAAACAAAGGAGAGGAAGGUGCUGGUCAGUUGGAGAAUAUGUGUAGACCACUGGAGCCUUGCUAUGUACUAUGGUCUGAAUGUUUGUGUCCCCUUCAAAUUCCUAAGUUGAAAUGUUAAUGCCCAUCUCCAUGGCAUUAGUAGGUGGGGGUGCUUCUGGGAGGUGAUUAGGUCAUGAGGGCAGAGCUUUAUGCCCUUGAAAACAAAUGCCCAAGAGAGCUCCCUUGCCUCUCUGUCACGUGAAGAAACAAGGAGACGUCUCAACUCAGAAGCGAGCCCUCACUCAAACAUGCUGCACCCUGAUGUUGGACGUCCAGCCUCCAGCGCUGUGAGAAAUGCAUUCCUGUUGUCUCUAAGCUCCCUAGUCCAUAGUUGGUUUGUUUUUCUAUAGCAUCCCAAAUGGACCAAGACACUGUGCUUCUCAGAUCACAUGGGCUUGUGCAUGGAUGGCAGAAGGGGUAGCGGGGAGGGAAGGAGGCAGAAGGAUGGAGAGACAGAGGCAGAAGAGAAAAAAAUAAACAGCAGAGGAAGUAGUUUUAAAUUUUCACUACCAGACAAGAACUAACAGACAAGAACUCGAGUCACACAUGAAAGGGCGAGGGCUACGCCCUCCAUCUUGCCCUGAAUCCUCCAUUUUUGGGCAGCAGCCAU